AUAUCAAUAAGCGGAGGAAAAGAAACCAACAGGGAUUGCCCUAGUAACGGCGAGUGAAGCGGCAACAGCUCAAAUUUGAAAUCUGGCCCUCGGGCCCGAGUUGUAAUUUGUAGAGGACGCUUUUGGCGCGGUGCCUUCCGAGUUCCCUGGAACGGGACGCCUUAGAGGGUGAGAGCCCCGUACGGUUGGACACCAAGCCUCUGUAAAGCCCCUUCGACGAGUCGAGUAGUUUGGGAAUGCUGCUCUAAAUGGGAGGUAAAUUUCUUCUAAAGCUAAAUACUGGCCAGAGACCGAUAGCGCACAAGUAGAGUGAUCGAAAGAUGAAAAGCACUUUGAAAAGAGGGUUAAAUAGCACGUGAAAUUGUUGAAAGGGAAGCGUUUGCGACCAGACCUCUCCCCGGCGGAUCAUCCGGUGUUCUUCACUGGUGCACUUCGCCGGGCAGAGGCCAGCAUCGGUUUCCGCGGGGGGACAAAAGCUCAGGGAACGUAGCUCCUUCGGGAGUGUUAUAGCCCUCCGCACAAUGCCCCCGCGGGGACCGAGGACCGCGCCCCCGGGCAAGGAUGCUGGCGUAAUGGUCGCCAACGACCCGUCUUGAAACACGG
rnacentral:rRNA from 1 species